GACGAACGCUGGCGGCGUGCCUAAUACAUGCAAGUUGAGCGAUGAAGAUUGGUGCUUGCACCAAUUUGAAGAGCAGCGAACGGGUGAGUAACGCGUGGGGAAUCUGCCUUUGAGCGGGGGACAACAUUUGGAAACGAAUGCUAAUACCGCAUAACAACUUUAAACAUAAGUUUUAAGUUUGAAAGAUGCAAUUGCAUCACUCAAAGAUGAUCCCGCGUUGUAUUAGCUAGUUGGUGAGGUAAAGGCUCACCAAGGCGAUGAUACAUAGCCGACCUGAGAGGGUGAUCGGCCACAUUGGGACUGAGACACGGCCCAAACUCCUACGGGAGGCAGCAGUAGGGAAUCUUCGGCAAUGGACGAAAGUCUGACCGAGCAACGCCGCGUGAGUGAAGAAGGUUUUCGGAUCGUAAAGCUCGGUUGGUAGAGAAGAACGUUGGUGAGAGUGGAAAGCUCAUCAAGUGACGGUAACUACCCAGAAAGGGACGGCUAACUACGUG
rnacentral:rRNA from 1 species